UUGAUUGCUGCCCGAGCCACUUAACUGUAGCUGACCACCGGCAGGCCCAGCUGUGUGGCUGCAGCCAUUCCAGCGCCCUGCUGCAGCCCGUCGCAGAGAAAGAGACGAGACCAUCAUGCAACCAAUUCUGCAGGUUGCUCGAAUGUGUCUCCUUGACCACACGUACAUGCAUUGUGUGUGUGUGUGUGUGUGUGUGUGUGUGUGUGUGUGUGUGUGUGUGGGUGGGUGUUGGUUUGUGUUUUGUUGACAUAUUUUGUUAAUGACGUUUUUCACAAUAACAGCAGGAGGAGAAAAGGACAGAAAAGAAUGAGUCAUUGCAGGCUAAUAAUUCUGCAUCUGGCUUAUGACACAUCAGUGUGGCGCCGUCCAAUAAAACCGGCACGACUCUAUAACUUCGUACAUCUCGCUUUAAAAACCCUUCCAGUGCAUCAUAAUUAUCAAAGCCACAGCUUGCCUUUCAUCAGUCAAGAAACCUUGAACAAAAAUCUGCACAAUCCAUGUAGGUAUAAUGCUCAAAGCAGCAUUUCAAUAACCUCUGAGAAUAAAUGGAAGAUCAGGGCGCCUAAAGUGAAGGUGGUGUCCUCACCGUUGUGCUCGGCAAUUACAGUUUUAUUCGCUGACAGCUGGCUGGGUGGACUUCUUUCUGCGCUAUGACUGAGAGCGUUGUGUGGUUUCACAUGCUGUUUACAUUCUUUUCAUCACUGUCCUCUGUUUCAAGGUCGAGCUUUGCAGUCGAUGUGUUUCAAAUUUUUUAGCUGCAUCAUCUUCACAAUAAGGUACUGUGAGGUCCAAUAGGGUAUAUGAUUAAUAUAUGCAUCAUAUUACCCUAUUGUUAGUUUCAUAUCAUUAUUUUUUGUGCAAUCAGUAGGUCGAGCCUGUGACUGGUCAGGCUGUGAGCAGGAGGUAAGUGACCUUUGAGAGCAUGGCAACAUUUUGACUUGUCACAGCAGGAAAAGCACAAGGAGCACGAGCAACAUCUCAGUAUUACUAUGCAAGUGUCACAUUGAGCCAGCAUGCUCAAUACCAGCUCCCUGAAACAUAAGCAGCUCAGUGGAAUUCAGCCAUCACCAGUUGUUCUAUUUACACCUUUGCUUCCCUGUGACAUGUCAGAAAGGCUCCGGUAAGAAAAGGCCUAUUGUAUGUAAGUCAAUGUGGAAUCUCCAAAACAGUUAAUGACAUCAUUAGCCUAAUUGAUGAAACUGACGAUCGGCCGGCCACUUGAUAUUCAUCAUAUAAUGUGAAGUUAUUCAUUUUAAAAAUAAUUUUUUAGGGAGUAAAUAAGAAGCUAUUAUACACUGGUAUCUAGCAGACUGCCUAAUAAUCCUUAAUUCGGCUACAAACUACUCAGCAGCUAAUUUAUUUGCCUUUAUUUUCUCCAGACAACUGCAUUUAGUUAACUUUUUCUUAAAACCUGUGCACAUUCCUGUCUACCCACACAGGAGUUUCUGCCCAAUGCUCCUGAUGAGACUCUUUUCAGAGCUGUUUGGUCAUGGAUGAACUGUGACUUAUUCACAUCUCUCUCGCCCUUCUAGUUGUUCUGUUGUAGCUGUCGGAAACGUCUUUAUUGUCAAUUUUUCUGAGGCUGCUUCCAUGUUCAUCACUCUUAUUAUGGUAUUGAGUGUUGAACCAUGCAUAGCUCUGUCCAACUUCAACCUGCAGGUCCAAAAACUGUACACAGCUUCGCUGAGAUUUGCCAGUUUACGGAACAGAGGGCGUGGCCUCUGCGGAAAACUCUUUAAUCAUUGCGCUACAAAUGUGGCUGAUUGGGGUCAAAAGUUGAAAAAAUACAAAAAGUGAAUGAGGAUACCACAGGCUUAUUAUUGUGCAAAUAGUCAGUUCCCAACUGGAUAACAGGAAUGUAUGUGGAGAAAUUGAAAAUUAAAACUGACUUGUUUAUCUAGUUUAGCAAGAUUACCAGUUGCUACAAAGAUUUGACUUUACUUGCCUUUCAAAAUGUGAAAAAACAAUGUAAACAACUGUUUACUAAAGGGGAAAACGUUGAGCUAUUGAUAUAUGAGCAAUUGCAUCAUACCAGGGAUAAAAAAAUGUUUUUGCAACAAAGCGCCCAAAGAAAAAUCCAUUGGAAUGCAACAGAAGGGACUCAGCCAAGCAAACAGUAAUUAACUUUUGGUUCCCAACCAGAUGAAACUGAUCACUGCACUAAGCACUUUGUCCAAAUUGUGGUUUGAGGUUUCACAUCCCAUUAAAAUCGUAGACAUUCUGAUUUUUUAUUUUUCAUUAGCGUAUUAGGUGGCACCAGGAGGCGCAGCUGCUUUUGUAUCUGCUUUUGUGCAACUGCUCAUAAGUCUGUUUUACACACAGACAGAAAGUUCUGCAUCAUCCUGUUUUGAAAGACUUUUCAGGUUUAAAUAAAAAACCCAAAUGAUCUAUAGAGCGGACAAAGAAAGCAUCACACCAGGUCAUCAAUGGAGCAGUUUACCGUCACUCUUCUAUGUCCCCUUUCGUCUCAAGUUGCCUGCCGCAAAUAGUUACUAAUUCUAGGUCUGACUUGUAAAAAUAUGGAGCGGUCUGCAACAAAGGAAUGUUGGGUGUAAACAGAGCAUUUUUGUUCUGUUGCUAAUAAAUCCAAGGUGCUAAACGUCCAGGCCAGACGCAGCUCAGUCUGUGCACCGACGGUACAUGAAGUGCUGUCCUCAGACGUCCUGUGGAACACACGGUGGUGAGGAGUGUUUCGGGGAUUUAAGCGGAUCGACCUGUAGAGCUUCUCAGUGUCUGACACGUCUUUUCCUCUCAGGACUGUCCUCAGUAGACAACUAAACCUCUGCUUCUGGGCAAACGUCACAGCAUCCAGACAAAACGAUACGUGAAGAUGUUUCUAUCAACAGAAAUAUGCCGAUGGCUGGGCUGCAGUCCAGGUCUCCCACUCUCUAACACACAAGCACACACACACACACACACACACGCAAUCACACACUCACACCUAGCCAAUUCCAACACUGCUGUUGCAGUCCAGCUGGCACUGAAAGGGAUGCUUUGAUGUUGGUCGGCAGAAAUUGCACGAAGGGUGUAAGUUGUGAGUGGUUCUGCCUCUAGUAAAUCUAUUUUAGCUACAGUGCUGGAGAUAAUUUGGGGUAAUUCAGAAUAAAAACAUUCAAAUGAAGGCAGAAACUCCUCGGAUCUUUUUUGUAGCAUUGUGUGUGUGUUGUUUGUUUUUUCUGAGGACGGAGCAGAAGAGGUACUUGGUGAAUUAUUGACUGAUUAUCAGUCAUUAAAUGAAAUACGAGAGACAUUUGUAUUUAAAUGCGUUUGAACUCGUUGAACUUGUUGAGGAAAAAACAACUUAAAACGCAUAUGUUACAAAUCCAAAUGAUAAUAAAUUCAAAUGACUCUUAAGACAGCCAACAUGCAUUCAACAAGUGUGCUGUAUAGUCAAUGAUGGCGAUAACUAAUAACUGGUGACAAUUAGAUCAUAUUCAAGACUUGAAAUGAACAAGGGGCCAUUUUGAUUUUUAGAAAUCUGCAAGCGUACAGGUACCCAACAUGGACACAGUUGAUGCAUAAUGACACUUAUUAAAGCAUUGGCCUGGAGUUGUGUGACAAAGGUAUUGUGUAAGAAGUGGACUUAGACGUCUCCCAUUAGUUUGUGAAUAAUGUUUUUUAAAACCUUGAGGUUUGAACAUUUUGAACAAGGCUUCAAUGUUCCAAUUGACCUUCAUGAACUGAUAACACACUAUGAAAGGAUUAAAGAUGUAAGAUGAAAACAGAUAAAUCCCCCACCAGACAACAACGUGGUAGCCUGUCAAUCACAGUCACAGGACAUGCCCUGCUUUACGGUCUAUUACCGUAAUUGCAACCAGAAAUUCCAUACUUAAAGGACUUGAUCUAAAACAACUGAAAUAUACUGCACAGCUCUCUGGACACUUAACAUUUGAGCUCCCUGUCUUCCACAGAGGCUGUAACCAGGCCCGCGUCCCAUAUUCACAACACGGAUUAUUCUUUAUCAUUAAAUCAGAAUGAAUCAGUGAUCAAAGAACCAACUGGCUUUUCACAGCAGGAUUCCUGAACUCAAUCCCAAAUACGAAAGUGCUCUCGGACAUCUGUUGAUGAAACUGAAGAACUACAGCCACAGUCAAACAGAUGUCCAAGGACCAGAGAAUUCCUGCCCUGAUAAGCUGUCAGGAGCAUUGCCUCGUCAAAUUGUGGUGUGUGCGUGCGUGUGUGUGCGUGCGUGCGUGCGUGUGUGUGUGUGUGUGUGUGUGUGUGUGUGUGUGUGUGUGUGUGUGUGUGUGUGUGUGUGCGUGCGUGCAUGCAAUUGGGAAAUGAGUGAGGAGACAAGCCUCAAGGUUACAUGCUAUUAAAACAAGGCUGUAUAAAUUAAUUAAAUAAUUCAUAAUUAUGAA